GGAAUGUGGCUCAAGUUGGGAGGCGUUACCUGCGGAGGGUUUGAGGCACGCCCAGGAGCGAGCCCACGGUCGGCCGACGCGGGGCCAGGGGCGGGCCCCAGGAUCCGGAGCUUCGGGCGGGGCCGAGUCUGGGUUUGGGGCCCGGGAGGCGGGGCCAGUUAGGGCGAGGGUCCCUGGGAUCGUCGGGUCAGGCCUUGGGCUAACGUAGACACUCUCGCAGUACCUCCGCCUUCAGGAAGGUCUUUUUAGCAGGGGCCUUACAGGUGCACGCUUCGGUCCUGGAGGCCUUAUCCUAACCUCUCCAUCAGCGCCACCCGUCUGGGGCCCGAAAGGAGGGAGCUUUCCCUCUGUCCUCCAGCCUUUGGACUGUCUCCAAACAAGCCAUUCGUUCACCAAAUACUUAUUAAGCACCUACCAUGUGCCUGACAAGGGAGAUGUAACGGGUCUCUCUCUCUGCCACCCAGGCCAGAGUGCAGUUGACGCAGGGCAGGGGAGCCCCGAAGUGGAGCAUAGUGUGUCCGGAACUGGUGGGUUCUUGGUCUCACUGACUUCAAGAAUGAAGCCGUGGACCCUCACGGUUCAAGCGAUUCUCCUGCCUCAGCCUCC
rnacentral:lncRNA from 1 species